rnacentral:rRNA from 1 species
GACGAACGCUGGCGGCGUGCUUAACACAUGCAAGUCGAACGGAAAGGCCCUGCUUUUGUGGGGUGCUCGAGUGGCGAACGGGUGAGUAACACGUGAGUAACCUGCCCUUGACUUUGGGAUAACUUCAGGAAACUGGGCCUAAUACCGGAAGGGACCUCCGCCUGCAUGGUGGGGUUGGGAAAGUUUCGGCGGUUGGGGAUGAACUCGCGGCUUAUCAGCUUGUUGGUGGGGUAGUGGCUUACCAAGGCUUUGACGGGUAGCCGGCCUGAGAGGGUGACCGGCCACAUUGGGACUGAGAUACGGCCCAGACUCCUACGGGAGGCAGCAGUGGGGAAUAUUGCACAAUGGGCGGAAGCCUGAUGCAGCAACGCCGCGUGCGGGAUGACGGCCUUCGGGUUGUAAACCGCUUUCGCCUGUGACGAAGCGUGAGUGACGGUAAUGGGUAAAGAAGCACCGGCUAACUACGUG